AGGGAACAGCAGAGGAGAUGUGAUUGAACGAGGAGUACUGAAGAGCACCAAGCAUGAGAGGACAGAUCUUUCUGAAUGGAAUGUGUCCUGGCUGACAUCUCUCAGGACACUCUACCAUAAAUAUAAACAGAAGACUGGAGAGGAAGAAAGGGAAGAGGAGGAUGAGGAUCCACAAAAUCAUGCAUGACUAAUUCUGAGGUCUAGUCAGGAGUACUGAAACUUUUCUUCAUGGAAGGAUAAAGGAAGCCCAACCCACCAGAGGAGAAACAGAAGACGGAAGUGGACUUUAAUAUCAAGUUCCCCCUCCCCCACCGCAUGCCUCCUCAGGCCAUUGAUAAACCCUGAGCUAGGAGGAGAGGGGAGUGUGAUUGGAGUUUUAUAUUGGACUGGGCCAGACUUAAUAACUGGAAUUUAUUUGAAAGCUCUGACAUCUGACCAAGAUUUGACUAAAGUCUAAGAAAAUCAGAUUCAACAGAAUGCGGUCAAAGGCACUGGUUGAAAAGAAACAAGACACUUGCAUGUUUAUAUCCCACUAGGAUAAACUUUCAACAAACCA
rnacentral:lncRNA from 1 species